rnacentral:rRNA from 1 species
AUACGGAGGGUCCAAGCGUUAUCGGGAUUCAUUGGGUUUAAAGGGUCCGCAGGCGGGAAAAUAAGUCAGUGGUGAAAGCCUACAGCUCAACUGUAGAACUGCCAUUGAUACUGUUUUUCUUGAGUAUAGAUGAAGUGGGCGGAAUAUAUCAUGUAGCGGUGAAAUGCAUAGAUAUGAUAUAGAACACCGAUUGCGAAGGCAGCUCACUAAACUAUUACUGACGCUCAGGGACGAAAGCGUGGGGAGCGAACGGGAUUAGAAACCCUAGUAGUCC